rnacentral:rRNA from 1 species
UGGUGGCGAUAGCAAGAAGGAUACACCUGUUCCCAUGUCGAACACAGUAGUUAAGCUUCUUAGCGCCGAUAGUAGUUGG